GCUAAACAAAUCCUGUUUUACCUCACUUUUCUCACUUACCUACUAGAGCGCUAACUCAGGAGUGAUGUCACUCCUAAGUUGUGACCUCUGACUUCCGAGGCAACUGGAACAUGGCUUUAAAAACCAGUUCAACCUUUAAGAUUCAGGACUCUCCUGUUGUUGUGGUGGUUUUGAUAUUCAGCCUCUCCAAUACCAGCAGCCUCGCAAGAAACCUUUGAUGAUGCCACUUCUCUCUGCUUCUUAGUAACCUUGCUUACUCACCUGCCUGCUCACCCAACACCAUCUUCUUAUCUCCUGGGAAACUCUGGCCAGCUGCUUUCUCAGCUGCCAGUUUCACCUGGAAGUCCAAAAGUCUCCUCCUGGUCUGUGAACUGAAGCUCUCCUGUGGCUCUCUGUUGCAAAUUCCGGUUGUUUAAUCCCAAACUCCUGAAAAAUAAAUCUUUU